GACGAACCGUCCUAACGUUAUUCGGAUUCACUGGGCUUAAAGGGCGCGUAGGCGGUUUACCAAGUCCGGGGUGAAAUCUUUCGGCUCAACCGGAAAAGUGCCUUGGAUACUGGUGAACUUGAGGGAGGUAGGGGCAUGUGGAACUUCCGGUGGAGCGGUGAAAUGCGUUGAUAUCGGAAGGAACGCCGGUGGCGAAAGCGACGUGCUGGCCCUCUUCUGACGCUGAGGCGCGAAAGCUAGGGGAGCAAACGGG
rnacentral:rRNA from 1 species